CAUGCUUUAAUUAUAAAGUAAAAAUGUUGGGAUAAUACUUUGAUACAAGUGGGUUGAGAUAUUUGAUCAAGUAUUCAUCCUAAUUCUACAAAUAACUCACGCACACCCCCUCCCUUCUCUUCCCCAUUCUCGGCCUCCCCUCUCUCUCUCUAUACUCUCUUUUCCUCCAUUGAUGUCCAUUGAAGAAAGCUUAGAGAAGCUUCAUCAAACACUACUAUGAGAUAAUCCACCAUCCAAUCCAAUCAAACACUAUCAUAUCUCAUCAAAUUCAAGAAGCUAGAGUUAAGAUCAAAGUUGGAGCAAAGUCUUGAUCACCUUUUAAAUCCUUGAACACGAGAAGAGCAAGGAAGUAAGUAACUCCACUUUGACGGGAGAUUUUGAGUAAGGUCUUCAGGAUAAGCGGAGGGGAGUAUGAUGUGGUGCAAGUGGGAAAUGUUUCGGGUUGAUGUUUUUCUUUCUCUAUCGUAUGCCCAUUUGGUCGAUAGAGUUUUGAUGUAAA